UGGGCGGCAGCUACACAUGCAGUCGAGCGGUAGAGAGAAGCUUGCUUCUCUUGAGAGCGGCGGACGGGUGAGUAAUGCCUAGGAAUCUGCCUGGUAGUGGGGGAUAACGUUCGGAAACGGACGCUAAUACCGCAUACGUCCUACGGGAGAAAGCAGGGGACCUUCGGGCCUUGCGCUAUCAGAUGAGCCUAGGUCGGAUUAGCUAGUUGGUGAGGUAAUGGCUCACCAAGGCGACGAUCCGUAACUGGUCUGAGAGGAUGAUCAGUCACACUGGAACUGAGACACGGUCCAGACUCCUACGGGAGGCAGCAGUGGGGAAUAUUGGACAAUGGGCGAAAGCCUGAUCCAGCCAUGCCGCGUGUGUGAAGAAGGUCUUCGGAUUGUAAAGCACUUUAAGUUGGGAGGAAGGGUUGUAGAUUAAUACUCUGCAAUUUUGACGUUACCGACAGAAUAAGCACCGGCUAACUCUGUGCCAGCAGCCGCGGUAAUACAGAGGGUGCAAGCGUUAAUCGGAAUUACUGGGCGUAAAGCGCGCGUAGGUGGUUUGUUAAGUUGGAUGUGAAAUCCCCGGGCUCAACCUGGGAACUGCAUUCAAAACUGACUGACUAGAGUAUGGUAGAGGGUGGUGGAAUUUCCUGUGUAGCGGUGAAAUGCGUAGAUAUAGGAAGGAACACCAGUGGCGAAGGCGACCACCUGGACUAAUACUGACACUGAGGUGCGAAAGCGUGGGGAGCAAACAGGAUUAGAUACCCUGGUAGUCCACGCCGUAAACGAUGUCAACUAGCCGUUGGAAGCCUUGAGCUUUUAGUGGCGCAGCUAACGCAUUAAGUUGACCGCCUGGGGAGUACGGCCGCAAGGUUAAAACUCAAAUGAAUUGACGGGGGCCCGCACAAGCGGUGGAGCAUGUGGUUUAAUUCGAAGCAACGCGAAGAACCUUACCAGGCCUUGACAUCCAAUGAACUUUCUAGAGAUAGAUUGGUGCCUUCGGGAACAUUGAGACAGGUGCUGCAUGGCCUGUCGUCAGCU
rnacentral:rRNA from 1 species